AGAGUUUGAUCCUGGCUCAGGAUGAACGCUAGCGGCAGGCCUAAUACAUGCAAGUCGAACGGGUCGCAAGACUAGUGGCGCACGGGUGCGUAACACGUAGGUAACCUACCUUUUACUGGGGCAUAACGAUGGGAAACCAUCGCUAAUUCCGCAUGAGAUAGUAGAGGGACAUCCCUCAGCUAUUAAAGAUUCAUUGGUAAAAGAUGGGCCUGCGGCUGAUUAGCUAGUUGGUGGUGUAACGGACCACCAAGGCCAUGAUCAGUAGGGGUUCUGAGAGGAAGAUCCCCCACACUGGCACUGAGAUACGGGCCAGACUCCUACGGGAGGCAGCAGUGGGGAAUUUUCCGCAAUGGGCGAAAGCCUGACGGAGCAAGACCGCGUGAGGGAGGAAGGCUCUUGGGUUGUAAACCUCUUUUGUCAGGGAAGAACACAAUGACGGUACCUGAAGAAUCAGCAUCGGCUAACUCCGUGCCAGCAGCCGCGGUAAUACGGAGGAUGCAAGCGUUAUCCGGAAUUAUUGGGCGUAAAGCGUCCGUAGGUGGCUAGUCAAGUCUGCGGUCAAAGACUGGGGCUUAACCCUGGAAAGGCCGUGGAAACUGACGAGCUAGAGUGCAGUAGGGGUAGAGGGAAUUCCCGGUGUAGCGGUGAAAUGCGUAGAGCUCGGGAAGAACAUCGGUGGCGAAAGCGCUCUACUGGACUGCAACUGACACUCAGGGACGAAAGCUAGGGGAGCGAAUGGGAUUAGAUACCCCCGUAGUCC
rnacentral:rRNA from 1 species